UUUAUUGAAUUCAUCCAAUUAGCGACAUGCAUGUCAGAAAAGUUACCAUGGGGGAUAACUGGUUUGGGGUAUCCAAGUGUUCACAUCAACAUUGCUUUUUGAUCCUUCCAUGCUGGCUCUUCCCGUCAUCCUGAAGCAGAAUCCACCAAGGGUUGGGUCGUUCAUCCACUAAUAGGGAACUUAAGGUGGGUUUAGACCAUAAUUA
rnacentral:ncRNA from 1 species